rnacentral:rRNA from 1 species
AUACGUAGGUGACAAGCGUUAUCCGGAUUUACUGGGCGUAAAGGGCGUGUAGGCGGUCUUGCAAGUCAGAAGUGAAAUUCCUGAGCUCAACUCGGGCGCUGCUUCUGAAACUGCAGGACUUGAGUGCUGGAGGGGAUAGCGGAAUUCCUAGUGGAGCGGUAAAAUGCGCAGAUAUUAGGGAGAACACCGGUGGCGAUAGCGGCUACCUGGCCGAUAUCAGACAGUGACACGCGAAAGCAUGGGGAACAAAAAGGAUAAAAUACCCUGUUAAUCAACGGUAUAAACGAGGGAUACAAGGUGUAGGGGGUAUCGACCCCCUCUGUGUCGACGUUAACACAUUAAGUAUUCCACCUGGGGAGUACGGCCGCAAGGCUGAAACAGAAAGGAAUUGACGGGG